UUCGAAAACGUAAGCUUUUCCGCUACCUAAAAAAAAUUUAAAAUAUUUUUUUUACUAGUACAUGUCCGUCUCCUUCUUCAUCCCAACUUCCCUGAAGUGAAACCCUAACCCUAGUUUUCAAACGGAGGUCAAGUGCUUCUCGAGUUCUCCUUCCACGCUCCUCCUAACUCAAUGCUGCUAACAUGAAUAAGCCCGAAAGGCGAUCAGGUGAUGCCUCGGGUAGCACCGGCAGAGGUGACGACCUUCCCAUCGUUCCAGCCGGAGGCUGCUUCGGCGACGGAUGCGAGGCUGUGGAACCGUGGCCAGUUCACCAGGUUCGCCAUCGAAACAACGUUUUCCUCCGUCUCUGCUCCUCCUGCGUGUUGAAGUAUCAUCCGGGCUCCUUCUGCUGCUCUUGCUUCGAAGUUCUCGACUCACCAGAGCGCCCGCUACUCGUCCAUUGCUCCAAAUGCUCCUCCGUCUCUCACCACAGCUGCCUGCCGGACCCCUCCAUUUCCCCUCUCUUCCUCUGCCCGGCAUGUGAUUCCCCUUCCCCGACCUCCUUCUCCUACUUUCCCUUCUCCAAGAAUUCCGCUGACCGUGUUAUUGAUCUCCGUGCGGCUAAAAUCCUCCUCGUGGCCGCACGUCUCUCGGCCGCAUCAAUGUGCCGGGCGGCAUCGCUUGCUAGGGCAGAAGCAGAGAAAAAAGUCAAGGAGGCUGCUUUAGCAAGGAAGAGGGCAAGAGACAUGCUUGAUAAAUCCUUGGUCAUCUCUGAGAAGGAGAAGGAGAAGAUUAAGGACUCGGUUAGGACUGCAAUGGCACCAGUUGCUUUUGCUGCUAGUGCUGCUGCCGCUGCUAAGAUGGAGGUGGUUGAGCCGAACAAGAAGGCACCUAGGCCGAGCGCACCUAGGCCGAGCGGCAUGGUUAUAGCAGGUGCUGUGGUUCAGAAGAGGGCACAUAACAGGGAGAGAGAGAAGUGGAAGAGGUUUAAUGAGCCAAUUGGGAUGGUGAACAGGUCGUCACUCUUGGUCGGUGGCAAUGAAAAUAUAAAGGGCCAUUUGAAUUUAGAUGUAAAGGAUAGUAUGGUAAAAGAUGAGACGGAGAAGAAUGGGAUUGUUUCAGGCUCACCAACUGAAAUUGCCAAGCAGGGGUGAGAGGAGUGUUAGAAAAAGAAAAAGGUAUUUAGGAUACUUCAAUCCACUCAAGAUGCAUUAGCUCAAUGACUUCUCCUUGAUAUAUGGUCACUGGUCAAAGGAACAAGGCAGCAGGCCUGCAUUCAUAAACCGCAUUUGUUGGCAGUUGGUACUCGAAAGGAGCUAAAUAUUCGCAUCAACUAGCCAUUCUAUGUGUUCAAUCGUUCCUGCUUCCUUUCAGUCUUUAUGUUUUCUUAGUUCUUCCUGUGUACUAUAACUACGGAUAAUUCUUGCAGCUACUUUACGAUAAAAAGAAGCUGAAGUUUUAGGGACUCUUUGGUUAGCUGAAAAAUACGAAGUAAAAAUGCAUUAUAUUCAAUUGAGUGUAAACUAAAUAUGAGUAAUUAUUUUUUCUCUUGUUUGGCAUCAAGUGAAAUGAAUUUAGUGUAAAA